AACAACUUGAAGCAAACUGAGUCUUCAAAUAUCAGCAUUUUUAACAGCAGACAACACCUGGAUGUAGCUGUGCAAUAAUCCAGGAGGUCAGUGUCCGAGUCAUGGGAUCGUGAGCACCUUGCCGCCCCUCUCUGGGCCAGCCCUGCAUCAUCCAUAAGAGUCUGGGCACUUAGAAGUUGAUCACUAUUUCUUGAAAAAGAAGGCAUAAAUGAAGAUAGAAUAAUGAAAGUCGAUUCUUAAAAAUGAAAUUCAAGAAACAUUGGGUAAUCUCACUGAACAAAAUAGAAAACCUGACAAGAUAUAAAUACAUUGUUCUGGAUGGUAUUUAAUCCCACUGUUGACAGCAAAGGAUACACUGGCUGGAAAGCUGAUGGCCUCUGAUAGAAAGUAUACAUUGCAAUUAGGUAAAAUAGAGAACAGAUUUAUGCCAAAGAAGCUCAUUCAUCUGACAAGACCAAAAAGAAAGAAAGAAAACUUGAACAAAUAGA